CCUCCGCUGCUCCAACUUCGCCGUCCACAAGUUCUCCGCCGCGCCCAGUGUCGCCAGCCGAUGUAGCUUCGCCCGUCGUUGCCUCAGCACAGUCCCAGCCCCAGCGUCGCCUGCCUCUGCCCGCGUUCCUGCCACAGUGCCGACCCAGCGCCGCCAACCGUCGCUCAGUGCCUGCCCUAUCGUCGCCCCGUUAUUGGCGUCACCCCAGCAUCGCCAGAUCUUCGCCGCAGCCCUUCGUCGCUGCCCCUGCCAGCCGUUCGUUUAUGUGGUACUCAAAACAUUAGCAGUUUUGUUGUCAAGAGGUAACAAAUAGUUUAACAAGAAAGCUCAGUCUGUAGGCUGUCGAUUUAUAGGUAUGAAAACUUGCCAUUUUUAUUUUUCACACUGCCUGAAAGUAUGAUUUGUCUGUUCCAAAUUGGCUGUCUUUCAAACCAACCUCUCUUCUUGUAAUUUUAUUUUGAGCUAAUGGAAAGCAAUCUCCUUGAGUUUACUUCUAGUUGAUUUGGUCUCUGUUUUAUGAUAUACAACUAUAGUCAUAUGAAUAUGGCAUGCAUACACACACAUACAUACAUACGUACAUACAUACAUGCACAAUGCAUACAUACGCACAUGCAUAUAUGCAUAUGUGUGAGCACGUCCGCGUUGCAUAUAUAUGAACGGACAUGUAUGUGUCCCGCAUUUUUUUGAGACUACAUUUUGUCUUUGUAUCACGUAUUGUGCAACAUCUUGGUGUGCUGUUUUAGUAACCGUGUGUCAUAAUCCUUAACUCCUUUGGCCUGAGCAAGCCUACUAAUAUAAACUAUAGUAGCUUGGUACAUUUGCUUAAAUGGCUUUAGGUUAGCGCAUUGCAUUUCUUCACUGUCGGUGCUUAGUUAAUAUCUCAUAUACAUCAUAUAACUAUCUUAAAUUCUAUUACAAAAUCAUGGGAAGCACUUGGAAUCUUUGUUAGCAAGUUCACAUUUAUGCAAACUUUAUGUAGAUCUCAAUUUAGUUCUUUUCUGAACCAAAUUAUAUGUUUACUUUUUCAUUCUACAAACUAGGAUACAACUCACUGCUAAUUGAGUAAGCUGGAUGAGAUUCAUAUCAUCUGACUAUUAGGCAGGCAUGGUCAGGGUUAAGCAAGCUUAUCGAGUCAGGUUUGGGCCAGCCUAGUGCAGGUCUGGUCAAAACUGAUUUGCCUGUAUACCUGAUUGCAACCGCUAUUGUAGGGCUAUGUGAAAUUGGUCAAAAUGGGUAAAAGGUAACUUUCAUUUGAUGCUGAUUUUGCUUGGUAUUUGGCUUCAGGUUGACCAGCUUAGACUAGGGAUUAAUGUCCAUCGACUGUAUGUUGGUGGACGUGAUAUUGGAAUGCCUAGAUGGAGGUGACAAAAGAAUAGGGUUAUUUUCACAAAGCCUUCCUCAACUUUUGGGGGUUGGUGGUGUUGCACAGGAAAUAUGUGAAAGAAAAUUCAUUACAAGUUGCACUUAGAAAUAAACCUACAGAAGUGAGUGUUGAUAACUGUGAUUGGCUAGUUAAGGAACGUUAUUUUUCUUCAAAAUUCUAGAAAGCAAGCCAACAAAAUACACUUAACAGAGGCAAAAGAAAGAUGCUCCACCACAUGGGCAGCAAAUCCUUUAGACAAAUCGCGUGGGAAUUAGUAUACAUUCAAAACUACUUUCCUAUUUAUUUAAAACUACUUUGUUUUUUAGUUUGAUGUUGUACUCAUUUUUAUUUAACAUUUGAAUAAGGGUGGCAAGUCAGGAAAUCCACCUGAUGUGGCACAAAUGUUUCAUGAAACUCAAAAGGAAGCUAAUGAAGUACUAGAUAUUGGAGAUCAAGAUAAAUAUAUAAGUAGAAUAUGUGUUUAAGUUUGAUAAUGAUGCAUUAUAUAGUACUAACAUAUGAAUUUAUUUUUUAUAGGAUGAAAUUGUUCAAGUCAAACAAGCAAACCCUUCACUUUCUGACAUUGAGAUAGUUGAGAAAAUCUGGAGAAAGCAAUCUCAUGGUCACAUCACAGUAUUUGGUGGCGGGACUACUUUGAAAGAUUUGAGAGGACCGCUCCCUAGUCGAUCUGAUCUGGAAGCACGAGUUAUAGAAGAAAAAAGAAAGAACCAGAUACUUCAACAACGCUUAGAUGAGCAGGAGCAACAACAACAAAGGAUGUCUGAGUUGGAGUCACAAGUGAAAGCUAUGCAAGAACUUUUUUUAGGCAAUCACCUUCAUUGACUCCUCAAACUCGAGAACGUGUGCAGG